rnacentral:snoRNA from 1 species
UCGAAUUUUUUAAUGAUGAUAAAAAUUUCUGUGCAUAGUUCAACUGAUUGAACUACAAAAUGAAGAUAAAAACAACCAUCAAAUUUAGUCUUUUGCUCCUAUCUGAAUUUUA